AGUGAACAUUAAAAGCUUUACAUUCUUUCCCAGGGGGCCUGUUGUAUCAUGGCUGCAAACAGCAACUUCCUUGUUAUAGUGUAUGCAGCCUGUUAAUUUCAUGGGUUGCUCUAAGGGACUGUGGAGACAGCC